rnacentral:rRNA from 1 species
CGCCCGCUGGCGGCGUGCUUAACACAUGCAAAUCGAACGGCAAGGCCCUGCUUUUGUGGGGUGCUCGAGUGGCGAACGGGUGAGUAACACGUGAGUAACCUGCCCUUGACUUUGGGAUAACUUCAGGAAACUGGGGCUAAUACCGGAUAGGAGCUCCUGCUGCAUGGUGGGGGUUGGAAAGUUUCGGCGGUUGGGGAUGGACUCGCGGCUUAUCAGCUUGUUGGUGGGGUAGUGGCUUACCAAGGCUUUGACGGGUAGCCGGCCUGAGAGGGUGACCGGCCACAUUGGGACUGAGAUACGGCCCAGACUCCUACGGGAGGCAGCAGUGGGGAAUAUUGCACAAUGGGCGGAAGCCUGAUGCAGCAACGCCGCGUGCGGGAUGACGGCCUUCGGGUUGUAAACCGCUUUCGCCUGUGACGAAGCGUGAGUGACGGUAAUGGGUAAAGAAGCACCGGCUAACUACGUG